AGGCCCGUAGCCUAGAUUGGAUUAAGGCGUCAGCUUGCGGAGCUGGAGAUCGGGAGUUCAAGUCUCUCCGGGCCUG
rnacentral:tRNA from 1 species